UACGUAGGGUGCAAGCGUUGUCCGGAAUUAUUGGGCGUAAAGAGCUCGUAGGCGGUUCGAUAAGUCUUGUGUGAAAUCUUCGGGCUCAACUCGAAGUCUGCACGAGAAACUAUCUGGCUUGAGUGUGGGAGAGGAAAGUGGAAUUCCGCGUGUAGUGGUGAAAUGCGUAGAGAUGCGGAGGAACACCAGUGGCGAAAGCGACUUUCUGGUCCUUAACUGACGCUGAGGCGCGAAAGCAUGGGGAGCGAACGGG
rnacentral:rRNA from 1 species